rnacentral:rRNA from 1 species
UAGGGAAUCUUCGGCAAUGGACGAAAGUCUGACCGAGCAACGCCGCGUGAGUGAAGAAGGUUUUCGGAUCGUAAAACUCUGUUGGUAGAGAAGAACGUUGGUGAGAGUGGAAAGCUCAUCAAGUGACGGUAACUACCCAGAAAGCAUCGGCUAACUCUGUGCCAG